AAAAUCAGCUUUUGUAUUGGAGUUGGAACAUUCUUCCUGCUCUCUUCCUCUUUCACCACAGAUCUCAAUUUUAGCUUGAUUUCUGUAAUUUCCUACAUGGGUCUUGUGUAUCUUGCUGCAAUCUUUUUCUAUAAAUCAAUUCUUUACAGGUAAAUCUCCCAAAC